rnacentral:rRNA from 1 species
GAUGAACGCUGGCGGCGUGCCUAAUACAUGCAAGUCGAGCGAACGGACGAGACGUUUGCUUCUCUGAUGUUAGCGGCGGACGGGUGAGUAACAUGUGGAUACCCUACCUAUAUGUCUGGGAUAUUUUCGGGAAACCGGCGCUUAUCCGGGAUAAUCUUCUGAACCGCAUGGUUCAUUAGUGAAAGACGGUCUUUCUGGCACUUAUAGCUGGUUCCGCGCUGCUUUAGCUAGUUGGUAAGUUAACGGCUUAUCAAGGCAACGAUGCAUAGCCGACCUGAGAGGGGGAUCGGCGACAUUAGAAGUGAGACACCGUCCAGGCUACUACGGGAGGGCGCAGUAGGGUAUCUGCCGCAGUGGGCGGGAGCCUGACGGAGUGGCGGGGAGUGAGAGAUGAAAGUGUUCGGAGCGUAAUGCUCGGUUAUGAGGGAAAAACAUAUUUGGAAGGAGCUGUACACAUCUUGACGGUACUGGAUCAGAAAGCCACGGCUAACUACGUG